GACGAACGCUGGCGGCGUGCUUAACACAUGCAAGUCGAACGGAAAGGCCCCUUUGGGGGUACUCGAGUGGCGAACGGGUGCGUAACACGUGAGUAACCUGCCCUUGACUUCGGGAUAACUUCAGGAAACUGGGGCUAAUACCGGAUAGGAAUCCUUGCUGCAUGGUGGGGGUGGGAAAGCUUCGGCGGUUUUGGAUGGACUCGCGGCUUAUCAGCUUGUUGGUGGGGUAGUGGCUUACCAAGGCUUUGACGGGUAGCCGGCCUGAGGGGGCGACCGGCCACAUUGGGACUGAGAUCCGGCCCAGACUCCUACGGGAGGCAACAGUGAGGAAGAUUGCACAAUGGGCGGAGGCCUGAUGCAGCAACGCCGCGUGCGUGAUGACGGCCUUCGGGUUGUAAACCGCUUUCAGCAGGGGCGAAGCUUGUGGUGACGGUACCUGCAGAAGAAGCACCGGCUAACUACGUG
rnacentral:rRNA from 1 species